GCCCAGAUGGUGAAAUUGGUAGACACGCCACUUUGAGGGGGUGGUGCCGACUUAGGUGUGCAAGUUCGAGUCUUGUUCUGGGCA
rnacentral:tRNA from 1 species